rnacentral:rRNA from 1 species
UUUGAAGUUAGCGGCGGACGGGUGAGUAACACGUGGGUAACCUACCUAUAAGACUGGGAUAACUUCGGGAAACCGGAGCUAAUACCGGAUAACAUUUAGAACCGCAUGGUUCUAAAGUGAAAGAUGGUUUUGCUAUCACUUAUAGAUGGACCCGCGCCGUAUUAGCUAGUUGGUAAGGUAACGGCUUACCAAGGCGACGAUACGUAGCCGACCUGAGAGGGUGAUCGGCCACACUGGAACUGAGACACGGUCCAGACUCCUACGGGAGGCAGCAGUAGGGAAUCUUCCGCAAUGGGCGAAAGCCUGACGGAGCAACGCCGCGUGAGUGAUGAAGGGUUUCGGCUCGUAAAACUCUGUUAUUAGGGAAGAACAAAUGUGUAAGUAACUGUGCACAUCUUGACGGUACCUAAUCAGAAAGCCACGGCUAACUACGUGCCAGCAGCCGCGGUAAUACGUAGGUGGCAAGCGUUAUCCGGAAUUAUUGGGCGUAAAGCGCGCGUAGGCGGUUUCUUAAGUCUGAUGUGAAAGCCCACGGCUCAACCGUGGAGGGUCAUUGGAAACUGGGAAACUUGAGUGCAGAAGAGGAAAGUGGAAUUCCAUGUGUAGCGGUGAAAUGCGCAGAGAUAUGGAGGAACACCAGUGGCGAAGGCGACUUUCUGGUCUGUAACUGACGCUGAUGUGCGAAAGCGUGGGGAUCAAACAGGAUUAGAUACCCUGGUAGUCCACGCCGUAAACGAUGAGUGCUAAGUGUUAGGGGGUUUCCGCCCCUUAGUGCUGCAGCUA